UGGAGACAAAACUGACAAAAGAAUUAAUGUUAUUCUAUGCAACGUCGUAAAAAAACUUGUGCCGGGUGACGCAAAGUGGAUGGCGUGUCGUGAAUUGUCCGUCCUCCGCGACCCAUUAAACCAAACGUACGGACCUCCAUCAUCCAAUAAAAUAGCGAGUAUCCAAAUUUGUGUACUUUCGGGUAGAAGUCAUCUUUUACGCUAACACAGAUUUUACCCAUAGGUUUUGACAGCAGCGCCGCCUGGGGCGCUGCGGCUGGGAAAAGAAAGAAACUCAAUGCGUUU
rnacentral:lncRNA from 1 species